rnacentral:rRNA from 1 species
UACAGAGGUCUCAAGCGUUGUUCGGAUUCAUUGGGCGUAAAGGGUGCGUAGGCGGCGCGGUAAGUCGGGUGUGAAAUCUCGGAGCUUAACUCCGAAACUGCAUUCGAUACUGCCGUGCUUGAGGACUGGAGAGGAGACUGGAAUUUACGGUGUAGCGGUGAAAUGCGUAGAUAUCGGGAGGAACAUCAAAGGCGAAGGCAGUGUCCUGGCGAGUAACUGACGCUGAGGUGCGAAAGCUAGGGGAGCGAACGGG